AAUGAACGCUGGCGGCAGGCCUAAAACAUGCAAGUCGAACGCCUGUAGCAUACAGGAGUGGCGCACGGGUGCGUAACACGUGGGAAUAUGCCUAUUGGUACGGAACAGCUCCGGGAAACUGGAAUUAAUACCGUAUGGUCCCCUCGGGGUAAAGAUUUAUCGCCAAUAGAUUAGCCCGCGGUGGAUUAGCUAGUUGGUAGGGUAAUGGCCUACCAAGGCGACGAUCCAUAGCUGGUCUGAGAGGACGAUCAGCCACACUGGGACUGAGACACGGCCCAGACUCCUACGGGAGGCAGCAGUUAGGAAUAUUGGACAAUGGGCGCAAGCCUGAUCCAGCCAUGCCGCGUGAGUGAUGAAGGCCUUCGGGUUGUAAAACUCUUUAGCCGAUGAAUAUAAUGACUGUAGUCGGAAAAUAAGCCCCGGCUAACUUCGUGCCAGCCGCCGCAGUAA
rnacentral:rRNA from 1 species